rnacentral:pre_miRNA from 1 species
AGUACCAAAGUGCUCAUAGUGCAGGUAGUUUGGCAUUACUCUACUGUAGUGUGGGCACUUCCAGUACU